CUUGCCUAUUUUGGAAGAGAGCCGCAGCCCUUCUGCUGAUGCGCGCGCGCUGGCGCCUUUUAAAGGCAACCGGCGGAGUGGCGGCUCCGCUAGAGCCCGGGAGCUGCCCCCGCCCCCGAGCCGCGAGCCCCGCGCGGAGCCUGGGCCCGGGAAGCCCCCCGCGCCAUACACCCCACCCCCAUUCUAGCGCCCUUCACUCACUUUAGGGGAAUUCCAACCAUGGAGAAAGGGGGUCCUGCCCUGGCCCCUCGUCCCCCUCUUCCUCCCUCCAACAGGGCAGACUCUUCUUCGAUAGGAGACUUGGAAGGAAACGAGAUGCCAGGCCUAGCGCGUUUGGGGAUCCUCUCUGGACAAGGCCACAGAGUGAAAACACCAGGCUGUGGCAACCCUCUCUGGCGGUCUGUGGGACACUGCUGGCGUGUUUUCCUCCCGUCAGCUUGACGCUAAGGAGUGCCGUGAGGAGAUCGUAGUUGCUUCAGCCAUGGUCUAUGCAGACCACACUGGGAUGACCUGGGAAUCUGUUUUACACACUUUGAAGCCCUUUGGAUCCCUCCAAUGGACUCUCCCCUGCAUCAAACACAAUCCACUGAGAUCUAGGCUGAGCCCACCUCCGAUUCUGCAGAACCUUGACAAUCCUUGACAGAAGGCUCUUCCAGCUCACCCCCUGGGUAUGCUAGGUGAUUCACGAGCUUUCCCUUCAGCCGGAUGGUCUUUUCUCCGAAAGCUUCCUGGUGUUCCCUCCCCAUAUGCCCAGGCUUCAUCUUCUCCUGCUUCCAGGAUCUGCUCCGCCAUAACUGCAGCUACCCCUUUCCUGCCAUGGUUCAACCAGCUCCCUGCAGCUCCAGCAUUUCCAGGGAUGGGGACCAUCACUCCCCCUGCUCUCGGGAGUCUCUUCUUGGUUGCUCCUCCGGCUUCCCCUCUGUCACUGGCUAGUCCCAGGCCUGCUGCUUUCCUGUGGUCACCCCAGCCUUGAGCCCCAUCAGUCACUCCUGAGCUCCUGUGGGCCAGGCCUUGGAGACUUCCUCUUUGUAUAGGGCCAGUGGGAAUAAAAAGAACCCAUAUGUGGCAGGUUGCCAUGACGUUUGAGUGACAUAAGGCACGCAUUAGGUAUAUAAGGUGCAGGUAAGUGCUGCAUCAGUGAACUCUUGUGUGGCAAGGUGUGUUCAGGUGAUAAGCAGAUCCUUGGAGCCGGGGCCUGUGGUGGCCUAAACACCACAGAAGAGGGAGGGGGCCCGGAGGAAUUUGGGGUAACUGGGAGUGAUAGGAAUCAGAAGUGUUUUAAGUUGGGGAAUAAGUUGGUUAGGUUGGCUUCUAGAAAAAUCCAAGGGGAGCUCAGUCGCUGAGCACUGAAAGAGCUCACGGGGCCUCCAUCCUGGACGUGCUGAGGACUGUGGGAUCCAGUGGCGCCUGGGGAAGGGUCAUGUCGGGACCCAGGCCAGAGCCCACACAGAUUUUGUGCGCAUCUCUCAACUUUUCCAGGACCCCAGCUGUCAUCUUUGUCUUUUUCUUUGGAACUGCCGCAGCUCUUAGCCUGGCCCAGCCCAUCUGCUACUCUCAGACCAGGCUGGGCCAAGGCUACAAAAAGCCAGUGGGUGUCCAGGCGCUGGUUCCACACUUACAGUGACAGAGCCUGUACUAUGUCCUCAAGCAGCACAUGCCAUGUCU